rnacentral:rRNA from 1 species
GACAGAGGUGCCGAGCGUUAGGCGGAAUCACUGGGCUUAAAGCGUGUGUAGGCGGGUCGUUAAGUACCUUGUGAAAUCCCACGGCUUAACCGUGGAACUGCUCGGUAUACUGGCGAUCUUGAGCCACUUAGGGGUCAGCGGAACAAAUGGUGGAGCGGUGAAAUGCGUAGAUAUCAGGAGGAACACCGGUGGCGAAGGCGGGUCUCUGGGCCGAUACUGACGCUGAGGAGCGAAAGCGUGGGGAGCGAACAAG